rnacentral:rRNA from 1 species
AUACGGAGGGUGCGAGCGUUAAUCGGAAUUACUGGGCGUAAAGCGCGCGUAGGCGGUUUGUUAAGUCGGAUGUGAAAGCCCCGGGCUCAACCUGGGAACUGCAUUCGAAACUGGCAGGCUAGAGUAUGGUAGAGGGAAGUGGAAUUCCGGGUGUAGCGGUGAAAUGCGUAGAUAUCCGGAGGAACAUCAGUGGCGAAGGCGGCUUCCUGGACCAAUACUGACGCUGAGGUGCGAAAGCGUGGGGAGCAAACAGGAUUAGAAACCCCUGUAGUCC